UUAUAUGUCUCUCAGUAUUCGGAAAGGCUGUCUGUUACUCUGUCCGCCGUCCGGCCUCUGCGCGGUGGUGGUGGUGGUGGUGGUAGGAAUAUUUAAAACAGGAAGGAAGUUGAAAAUGAAAUCGUAUGUAUGUAGUAAUAGUAGUAAUUGUUGUUUUUGUUUAUAAUAGGAAGGACUUGUGUAUUACUGCGAUGUAUUGCUGGGAACUAUGCGGGUUUUACCAAGAGACGAUAAACAAGACUCGUAUUUCUCAGAAGCUCUCACUUUGCUUUCAGUGGGACUGUUAUCAAAGGCCACAGAGAUGAUGAACCAGAUUUUCAAGUGUCAUAUUAAUAAAGUAGAAAUUUUUUUAAUCUUUCUAGAACCAUAAAAUAUCUUAAAAAACCGCGCAUCUUCAACUAGAGCCUUUUGGAAGUAGUGAAGGUAGCGUCAGGAAAGCCAGAAGAGCUGCCUUGACGAGACCCACACUGGCGAACAGAUGUAACGCUGUGAAGUGAUAAAUGUUUUAGAAUCUUCGUGUUGAGGAUAGAUUAAAUAACUUACGGUAAAUUUUAACUCUUUCAUCAGUCUCUCUAUACAAGGUGAAACUUUUUUUUUCCUUUCGCUAGUAGUGUUCGGUCUGUUUUGAAAUAAUCUUGUUUUUCCUACAAAUUGUUAGUUUUAUCUCCCCAAACCCAAUCCUUUCAGAAACUGUUUUGGGGAUAAAAACGAAAAACAGAUUAAUACAAAACAAACCAAAAUAUUCCAAAACAAAAUAGUUGGUCCUUAAAAGAAACAGCAACAACACCAGCAAUCUAGAGGACCCGCCGCCGCUCGCUUGUCCACCGAUAGCAUUCUCCACGACCUCCUAACCCAAUCUAACCAAGCUAACCUAACAUAACCUAGCAAACUAACCUAACCAAGCUAAUCUAAGCCAACCAAGCUACUCUAAGCUAACCAAACUAACAACUACAUUAGCGUAACUUACCUUUUAUGUGGAUGAAAUGUAAUAAAAUAAGUUAAAGUGAAUAUCUUCUCUUAGGUACUUAAAUGUAUAGUUGUUUAUGUCCAUACGGUGUGUGUUUUUUUUUUUUCUUUUUUCUUUUUUAGAUGUAUCAAGGCGUGAGGUGAUGGGCAGUGUGGGUGAAGAGUCAGCUGGUGUUCCUAAUGGCUGGGUGGCGUCCGUGGCUGCGCUGAGAAAGCUAGUUCUUAAUGCUACUGUUGUUUUUUAGAUGUGUCAAGGCGUGAGGUGAUGGGCUGUGUGGGGGGAGAGUCAGCUGGUGUUCCUAAUGGCUGGGUGCGGUCCGUGGCUGGGCUGAGAGAGCAAGGAGUUCUUAAUGCUACUGUUGUUUUUUUUAGAUGUAUCAAGGCGUGAGGUGAUGGGCAGUGUGGGGGAAGAGUCAGCUGGUGUUCCUAAUGGCUGGGUGCGGUCCGUGGCUUGGCUGAGAAGAGCAAGGAGUUCUUAAUGCUACUGUUGUUUUUUAGAUGUAUCAAGGCGUGAGGUGAUGGACUGUGUGUGGGAAGAGUCAGCUGGUGUUCCUAAUAGCUGGGUGCGGUCCGUGGCUUGGCUGAGGAGAGCAAGGAUGUGUUGAUGGUAGUGGACAUAAAACUGCUUGGCUUUUCAAGGUAACCCCAGCAGGUCCAGGAAGGUGUAGGUAUAACACUCUCAUGCACCACAAGCUGUCCCACAUUCAGCAUAGAGUAAGAAGGAAAUAUUUGCCUGGAGUCAUUCUUUAUUGCAUUAAGUACUAUGAACAGGACACAGAAGGCAUAGCACUUUCUUCUUUGCAAACUUUUCAUCGCGUUUCUAAGGACAGACGCAUUUCUAAGGACAGACCGCAUGGAGCCCUUCAGAACCCCAGCAGCAGUGAGGAAGCAGACCCUAUUGGUAGUGUUAGGAGAGAAAGAUGUACACUCAAACACACUGAUCCUUUAUAAUGUGUUUAUAAUUGUGUUGUGUGUUUUAAUUGCCAAGUACUUGUGAGGGUGGACGGGUCAAGCACAGAUGGCAAACACAGCUGCUGGAGUGUGUCAUAUGAUAGGCUGCUGUGAUGGGGAAGCUGCAGAUGUUGUCAUUGCAAGAGGUGCUGUGUUGCAAGACCUGCUGGGGACAAGAAACACUCCACAGCCUCGGGUUAAAAAAUAGUUACAAAUGCUGGGAAAUAAAUUGCUGAGGAUAUUUCUCUCUCUCUCUCUCUCUCUCUCUCUCUCUCUCUCUCUCUCUCUCUCUCUCUCUCUCUCUCUCUCUCUCUCUCUCUCUCUCUCUCUCUGUCUAAAUAAGUUGAGAAGAGAUUUUUGUAGUUUAUUUGUAGUUCAUUAGUGUGUGUGUGUGUGUGUGUGUCAUUACCCUUACAAGAAGGUGUUUAGGAUUAGCUUUGUAAGUGUGUGUGUGUGUGUGUGUGUGUGUGUGUGUGUGUGUGUGUGUGUGUGUGUGUGUGUGUGUGUGUGUGUGUGUGUGUGUGUCAUUCCCCUUACGCUGUGUUUUGUCUGGCUUAGGGACACAGCAGGCUUGAGUCACCCAUGCACAGUUUGGUGUUACAAUCUCUCCUUGUGUUGAUCAGUUAGGCAGUAAUCUUGCACAGCCAAACAUAACCUUAAAUUUUGCGGAGCAGCUUAAAUGCAGGUCAAAGCUAACCAAACAUUUAUGCCUUAGCUAGAAAAUACUGUAGAUCAUUGAGAAAUUUAAUGAGAGUGAUCACUGUGGAAUUAUUAAUAAGGUGUACGAGAGAAAAGGUUUUGAGAUAAUCUGUUCAUGUUCUAAGGAUCCAAAAUUAUUGCCACUGAAGACAGGAUGGUGGCAAAGCUGCUAAAAGAACUAAGAGGAUAGACACUGUUUCCCGGCAGUCUUAACCCAACAUAGGGUGAAAAGAACUAAGAGGAUAGACACUGUUUCCCGGCAGUCUUAACCCAACAUAGGGUGAAAAGAACUAAGAGGAUAGACACUGUUUCCCGGCAGUCUUAACUCAACAUAGGGUGAAAAGAACUAAGAGGAUAGACACUGUUUCCCGGCAGUCUCAACCCAACAUAGGGUGAAAAGAACUAAGAGGAUAGACACUGUUUUCUGGCAGUCUUAACCCAACAUAGGGUGAAAAGAACUAAGAGGAUAGACACUGUUUCCUGGCAGUCUCAACCCAACAUAGGGUGAAAAGAACUAAGAGGAUAGACACUGUUUUCUGGCAGUCUUAACCCAACAUAGGGUGAAAAGAACUAAGAGGAUAGACACUGUUUCCCGGCAGUCUCAACCCAACAUAGGGGAAGAGAGACAAGUGUUGGUGAGCAGCGUCAGCCGAACAGUGCGGUAUUGGGUGAGUGCGCUGUGCAGGCAGAGAAAGGCGUGCUGCUGUGAAGUGACCAAAGGGAGUGUCUGUAGUGGCAGUGAUGCAGCGGUGAUGAAGGACACUGGUCACCGCUGCCAGACACACUGAGGCGUCACCUGGCAGGCAAGCUGGGUACUGCAUCCACCCACCACUGCACUACACACACACACACACACACACACACACACACACACACACACACACACACACAUGCCACUGAUUACCCCACAGUAGAAUGAUCUGUAGCCUUUCAAGAAAUAUUUUUCAUGGCAUGUCAUUUGUAUAAUUUGUAAUAAGUAAGUAAGUAAGUAAGUAAGCUUUAUUGUCACAUUGAAUUACAUACAACAUGAAAAUCUUCUUGGCUUGCUCAGUAGCUCAUCCACAUAAUAUAAUAUACUAAAAAUAAUACAUCAUUAAAACUACACACUCACACACAUAAAACAAAAGUUAGUGGGAAGCAAAGGAAUUGAAGAAAUCUAUACUGUUAGGAAUAAAGGUAUUUUUAAAUCUAGUAGUUUGCAGGUUUGGGAGGGCAAGUCUUUUACCAGAUCUCAGGAACUUGUAUUGGCAGUGCAGUGGUUGCUGGACAUCAUUCAUAAUUUUAUUUAGUAGUUUUAUCACCAUCAUAAUAUAUAUAUCAUCUAGGGAAUCAGUUGUAGCUUUAAGUUUACCAGCGUUCUUUACAAUUCUUUUGAGUUUAUUUCUAUCUUUACAUGUGAAGGAUCCAUACCAUACUGUAAUAGCAAAGCUCAAAAUGGAUUCAAUUACUGGUUUAUAAAAUAGUGAUAAUAUUGAUUGAUCUAUAUCGAUGUUUUUCAAUAUUCUUAGAAAAUGAAUUCUCUGUUUACAUUUUUUGUAUAAUUUAGUUGUAUUUGAAGAUCCUGUUAAUUUGUCAUCAAUUAUUACGCCAAGAUAUUUAUAUUCACGUACUCUUUCAACUUGCUCAUUGGCUAUGACUAGUGGAUCUGGAAUUGUGUUCAUUAUACGGAAAUCAAUUAUCAUUUCUUUUGUUUUCUUUACAUUUAUAUUUAAAAAGUUAUUAUUGCACCAUGUAACAAAGUCUUCAACUUGCUUCAGGAACUCUUGUGAUCAUUACUGAUUUUUCCCACUAUUCCCGUGUCAUCUGCACAUUUAAUUAUAGAACAACUUUUAUAUUUACUUCUGCAGUCAUUUGUGUACAAUACGAAAAGUAGUGGAGCCAGAACACAACCUUGGGGUGCCCCUGUAUUUGUUAUAGCAAUGUCUGAUUUAACAUUUUUAAGUUUUGUAUAUUGUGAACGCAUUGUUAGGUAACUAUGUAUCCAUUUCAUGAGUUUUCUGUUUACAUUUAAUGCUAGUAACUUUUGUAACAAUAUGUGGGCUUGGAUGAAUUUCAAGGUCUGGAUAUUUCAACUACUCUGGCACACCUUCACACAGCACACACACACACACACACACAGCAGGGGACAGUGGGAACCAGCGCGCACACACACACACACACACACAGCACACACACACACACAGCAGCAGGGGGCAGUGGGAACCAGCACACACACACACACACACACACACACACACACACACACACAGCAGCAGGGGGCAGUGGGAACCAGCACACACACACACACACACACACACACACACACACACACA